GACGGAGGGUGCUAGCGUUGUUCGGAAUGACUGGGCGUAAAGGGUGCGUAGGCGGCUCGUGAAGUCGGGUGUGAAAGCCCGGGGCUCAACCCCGGAACGGCAUCCGAUACUGGCGGGCUUGAGACCGGGAGAGGAGGGUGGAAUACCCAGUGUAGAGGUGAAAUUCGUAGAUAUUGGGUGGAACACCGGUGGCGAAAGCGGCUCUCUGGCCCGGAUCUGACGCUGAGGCGCGAAAGCGUGGGGAGCAAACAGGG
rnacentral:rRNA from 1 species